UACGUAGGGUACGAGCGUUGUCCGGAAUUAUUGGGCGUAAAGAGCUCGUAGGCGGUUUGUCGCGUCUGCCGUGAAAAUCCGGGGCUCAACCCCGGACUUGCAGUGGGUACGGGCAGACUAGAGUGUGGUAGGGGAGACUGGAAUUCCUGGUGUAGCGGUGAAAUGCGCAGAUAUCAGGAGGAACACCGAUGGCGAAGGCAGGUCUCUGGGCCACUACUGACGCUGAGAAGCGAAAGCAUGGGGAGCGAACAGGAUUAGAUACCCUGGUA
rnacentral:rRNA from 1 species